rnacentral:rRNA from 1 species
UACAGAGGGGGCAAGCGUUGUUCGGAAUUACUGGGCGUAAAGGGCGCGUAGGCGGCCUUCUAAGUCGAACGUGAAAUCCCCGGGCUCAACCCGGGAACUGCGUCCGAUACUGGAAGGCUUGAAUCCGGGAGAGGGAUGCGGAAUUCCAGGUGUAGCGGUGAAAUGCGCAGAUAUCGGGAGGAACACCGGUGGCGAAGGCGGUUCUCUGGGCCUGUACUGACGCUGAGGAGCGAAAGCGUGGGGAGCGAACAGG